CAACAUACUAAUUCCACAUAGUAACACUAUUGCCCAUGCAGGUAUAGCUGUACCUCCUAAGAUAGUUGAAACAUUUAUGUUAUUUUCAUGUAAACGUAACAAUUUCAUCAAUAUUUUACAAUUUUUACUCACUGUAAUAUUGCCUUGUUAUUGUCUUACGACCGCGUAAUAUUUUACGUCUUGCUUCUGUUUCAUCGAUGAAGAUUCCCAUAAUAACUAUGUUACCGUCAAAUAUAACCAGACAAGAAGAAUUGGGUGUAGCGUUGAUCGUCGGAUGAUGAAUCAACGACGAUAGAUAACAAGUGAUAACAGAUAAUAUAGAAUGUAGCUUAUCUGUUUUAAUACUAUGAGAUAAAGUACCUGAGAAAAUUCAUGUAGGCAAUGCAGUAAAAGAUAGUAAACUUUCUAAAAUAGUCUGGUAAAGAAGCUUUUACAUUUGUUGCCAUAAAUUUGGUAUAUUUACAAAGUUUAUGUAAAUUUAAUAUAUUUAAAACAAAUUAGAUAUAUUACUUGUAUAACAAUGACUUUUUAUUAAAUCUAUUAAGAAGAUAUUUAGUAUAUAUACUUGUGUUAUCUCUAUGUACGAUUUAUCUUCAUUAACGUGAGAAAUGGCACAUUGAAGAUUUACAAUUUGACAGAAUGCGAAAUGACUGUGGCUGGAUGUAUGGGACAAGGAUUCGGGUCCUUACAAUCUGAUCAACAGAAAAGAAUAAUCUGAAGUUAUAUUUCUUAAUCUCAUAAUGACUUUUUAUUGAUUGAAAAUUAAGGAACCAAGUUACAUAUAUAGUAAAUCAUUCACGCAAUCGUUGUGAUCUCAGAUAAAUAUGAUACCAACGCGUGAGAAUGUCAAGUGAGAAGAAGACAAACUAGGCGGUAUAACUACUGCGAGUAUUAGGAGAUAAUAAGUAUAUAAUUCCAAUAUUAAUGGUAUUUAGCUGUAAGAUAACGUAAUAGUAUAUUCUCUUUUAUGUUUAUUUUAUAUGUAGUUAUAUUAUCGUUUCAAAGAAUGUUAAAAAUAAUAUUUAUAUUUAAGAAAGCAUGAUUCUCUCAUAAAGGUAUACUUGACUCGCAGUAUAUUCCGUUACAGUUAUUUUUCUCUCUCCUGUAUAUUGUAAGGAGUACUGGCAUAAACCAAUACAUGUAAGUGAUUUAUAUAAUGAUCACUUUUCAUUAUACCUUAUUCAAAGAAUAUGUGUAUACAACAAAAGUAAAGCUUUGAUGCGAUUUCUGAGAGUAUAAGUUUUAUAAUAAUAUAAAUGUAAAUAUAAAUAGCUGGCACAUAUACAAGGCAUUCCAAACAUCACUUUUCACCAAAUUUGCAGCAAAUUUAUCUGCUGCGCUCACUGCCUCUUCUCUACUAUUCCUUUGUUGCUAUAUCAUUAUCUCUAGUUAUACACUCUUUUAAUACAAACUAAAUUCUGUGUUAUAUUCUCUCUCUCUUUCUCUCCUCUUCCCCCCUCCGUUUUUCGUUUUGUUCUAAUUAUUCAGCACCA